AUGGCAACAAUCAGCCAUGAAAUUCCUCGCGUCUACGACGUUGAGGCAGGCCAUGUGAACCCGCAGGAGAUCAAGGCGAUGACACCGGCGAUGCCGACUACAGCCGUGGCGGACAAGCCGAUUGUGGCGCUGUCAGCAAAUCUGGCGCAACUGCUGCCGUCGGGGACGGUGAUGGUAUACCAGAUGCUGGCCUCGUCCUUCAGCAACAAGGGCAAGUGCUACAACACCAACUGGUACAUCACCGUCGCGUUGCUCGUCGUGCUUGCUCUCUGCUCCGUUUUCUUCAUCUGGACAGAUUGCGUGGUUCACAAUGGCAAGCUGUACUACGGCCUGGCCAUAUACGGCCGCCUCAACGUGUUCAACCUAUCCAAGAAGGAGCAGCUAGUGCUGUUUGCAGACAUUAUGCCAGAGCUGAGCCGGCGUGGCCUGAGGCGGCUGGACUUUUUUCACGCGUUCCUCGUAGUGCUUGUAUUCUUGGCAAUGGCGUUCACCGACGUAGAGAUUCAGAACUGCUUCUUCCCGGACGCGGGAAACGAAAUCCAGCAACUGUUGAAGAACCUGCCUCUGGGAAUAACCGUCUUUGCCAGCUUGGUGUUCAGCAUCUUCCCCACCAGGAGAAAAUUCAUCGGCACUGCUGCUUAA
rnacentral:rRNA from 1 species